AUCUGUAUAAAAGGCAAUACCUCAGAACAUUUUCUCUCUGUAAACCCUAAACUCAUCGCCGCUUUCAUUCUUUUCAUAUCUCUAUGUUUUCUCCUCUCCAUUGAAGCCGCUUCGAUUAUUUGAGAUAGAAUUGAAUCAGAGAGAAGCAAUGCAAAAUAAGGGUUUUAUUUGCCAGCUUCCUUACCAAACCCUAACACGCCCCCAUCUUUGCAAUCUCUACAUCUAUCAUCUUCGCCAUUUCUUUCCUUCAUAUAAUGGUUUGUUGUUCAAAUCGAUUGUAAAAAAAGGUGAUGGCAUAUUAGGUGAUGAAAGUUUAGAUGUCUUUGUUGCGAACUCAAAUGGACAGGUUCAAUUUAUUAAUUCUAUAUUGAAGUAUGUUUUGGUACAUAAGUUUAGGAAGAUUUAUUACACUAUUUAAUUUCGAAGAUUUGCUGAAUGAUGACGAUGUGAGCAUUGGAGGGACCAUGUGCAUCAGUUGGGAGUGACCUGUUUAGAAUCAAUCCGCUGAUUAUGGAGCUGAUUUAUUUCAACCUUUUGACCUGGUUGUUUGGCAUCAAAGUUGAAGGUGGAUGGCUAAGCUUUUAAGCAGUUGUGUGGCGGUGGUAUGGAGUUGGUAUAAGGGCUCACUGGGUGGAACAGAGGUUGUGAUUCGGCAUUUUCCAGCUGCUACACAAAAUUUCUUAGUUGGUGCUCAUGGAGAAGAUCGACAAGAGUAGGUUAGUGUUUUACGUUCAUCAAAUCCGGUGUGUCUUAUACUGGUUCUGAAUUUACAGAGCCCAAACAUGGCUUCAUGGAUAAUGGUAACUCAAAAAACCAAAACCAUAAAACUUCAGCUGCAUCUACGCAUUCAUUAAAGAAGGAUGGAUUUCAAAUAUGGAGUUUGGGUUGAUUCUUUGACGGUGGUCAGGCAUCGUGACGACAAGCGAGUGGGCGAGUGGGUGGUGCGGUUAUAAUGGGCACACAAGAUAGAAGGUGCUGGUGUGUUUGCAGUUGAACUGUUUUUAACAUAAGAUGGUCAGGUUACUAUUAUAUAUCUUAAUAUUUUUUUAUGUUUUAACGUAAGACUUUUAAUAACUUUAUACGUAUACUGCUAUAUGUGAAUGUUAAUAUGAAUUUGUGUGUUUAAAGAAGGUUGCUUUUAGACCUCAUAACAGUGGCCACAAGACAACUACUUUAUGUAACAAUUUUGACUAACAUGGAUACUAUACACAAAACUAACAUGAACUCAAGUUUUGGGUAAUUUAUAUUUUAUUCUCCCUCUUUUUUUUAUAAUUCAUAAAGUAACUUAUUUCUAAAGUUUAUAUAUGGUAUUAAUGUGUCUUUAUAUUUCAAAAUACACUUAUCAUGUUACAUAGCAAAUCGUUCUCAUGAAUUUCUAAACUUCAUGGCAAUUUUGAAAUGUACCUACUUCAAAUAUAGGUGGGGGACAACUGGCAUGUGAAUAACUCGGCCACAACAGGGUUUGUAGAAUUGUUAUUCCAAUCUUUUUUUUUGUAUAACUAUGUAUGCAAUAUGCAACUCUUCGUUAUGAUCCUAUUGAAAAGUAAAAUAGACUAUCGAGCUAUGAAUUUAUUAUGAUUAUUGUAAGUAGGCUGAAUGGUGCAGUGGAAUUGAGUGAAUUGAUGUCAUCGUUUUUAAGAUACAACAUAGAAAGGAAACCAACAAGCGUGUGAGCGCGCCAUGGUGUAUGCCUUUUCUCACCAAGUACAUGUAUUUUAUUAAAGUGACAAGAUAUCUAAAAGUAAGACAAACAAGCAGCAACGAAGAAGCAGUCAGCCCAUCCACACCGGCCACUACUCCUGGGCAACGCGUCGCCGCUGCCGAUGUCCUUCCACAGUCCUGCUACUACGGUUGCCACAUGCUCGAUGGACGAUCACUGGCCACUACACCAGGUCGGUGCGGAGGCGGUUUGGGUUUUUAUUGUUAAUGGGGUAUUUGGUCCAGAAUCAAGGUUAUGAGCUUUUGAUCUUCGCGGUGCAAUGUCCAAGGUUGAAAAACCAUUCAUCAUAUAUGAGCAGGAAGAUGGGUCUUGUGAUGUUUUGGACAAGAAGGUUAUGAGCGAACAGGUUAAUAUGUCAUCGGUUGGAGUUAUUUGAUGAGAGGCAAGGACAUGUCGAUUGGUGAUAUUUGUGUUUUUAAAUAGUCAAAGAGCAAAGGGAAGAUAUUGGUUGCAAAACCUCCAAAACAUAUAGCAUGAGUUUAAAAUUGUCUCAAGUUUCUUAAUGUUUUCAUUCGUUUAUUCACUUUUUAGUAUCAUAUUGUUUUGUGAUCAUUUAAAUAUUUUAAUAGCCUUUUUUCUGUUUGAUAUA